rnacentral:rRNA from 1 species
GACGAACGCUGGCGGCGUGCUUAACACAUGCAAGUCGAACGGCCCGGCCCUGCUUUUGUGGGGUGCUCAAUUAGCGAACGGGUGAGUAACACGUGAGUAACCUGCCCUUGACUUUGGGAUAACUACAGGAAACUGGGGCUAAUACCGGAUAGGUGCUCCUGCUGCAUGGUGGGGGUUGGAAAGUUUCGGCGGUUGGGGAUGGACUCGCGGCUAGUCAGCUUGUUGGUGGGGUAGUGGCUUACCAAGGCUUUGCCGGGUAGCCGGCCUGAGAGGGUGACCGGCCACAUUGGGACUGAGAUACGGCCCAGACUACUACGGGAGGCAGCAGUGGGGAAUAGUGUACAAUGGGCGGAAGCCUGAUGCAGCAACGCCGCGUGGGGGAUGACGGCCUUCGGGUUGUAAACCGCUUUCGCCUGUGACGAAGCGUGAGUGACGGUAAUGGGUAAAGAAGCACCGGCUAACUACGUG